rnacentral:rRNA from 1 species
CCUACGGGUGGCAGCAGUGGGGAAUAUUGGGCAAUGGGCGCAAGCCUGACCCAGCAACGCCGCGUGAAGGAAGAAGGCUUUCGGGUUGUAAACUUCUUUUCUGAGGGACGAAGAAAGUGACGGUACCCUAGGAAUAAGCCACGGCUAACUACGUGCCAGCAGCCGCCGUAAUACGUAGGGGGCAAGCGUUAUCUGGAUUUAUUGGGGUGAAAGGGGGUGUAGGCGGGAAAGCAAGUCAGAGAGUAAAACUUAGAGCUCAACCCUGAGCCUGCAUUUGAAACUGUUUUACUUGAGUGCUAGAGAGGCAAUCGGAAGUCCGGGUGAAGCGGUGAAAUGCGUAGAUAUAAGGAGGAACACCAGUGGCGAAGGCGGUUUGCUGGACAGUAACUGACGCUGAGGCGCGAAAGCGUGGGGAGCAAACAGGAUUAGAUACCCGAGUAGUC